AUUACAUGGAUUUAUUGUGAUGUUGUAGGCUAUAUUACAUGGAUUUAUUGUGAUGGUGUAGGCUAUAUUACAUGGAUUUAUUGUGAUGGUGUAGGCUAUAUUACAUGGAUUUAUUGUGAUGGUGUAGACUAUAUUACAUGGAUUUAUUGUGAUGGUGUAGGCUAUAUUACAUGGAUUUAUUGUGAUGGUGUAGGCUAUAUUACAUGGAUUUAUUGUGAUGGUGUAGGCUAUAUUACAUGGAUUUAUUGUGAUGGUGUAGGCUAUAUUACAUGGAUUUAUUGUGAUGGUGUAGACUAUAUUACAUGGAUUUAUUGUGAUGGUGUAGGCUAUAUUACAUGGAUUUAUUGUGAUGGUGUAGACUAUAUUACAUGGAUUUAUUGUGAUGGUGUAGGCUAUAUUACAUGGAUUUAUUGUGAAGGUGUAGACUAUAUUACAUGGAUUUAUUGUGAAGGU